GCAUUAGUAGCUCAGAGCCAGAGCGUCGGUCUUGUAAACCGAAUGCCAGGGGUUAAAAUCCCCUCUUUUGCU
rnacentral:tRNA from 1 species